rnacentral:rRNA from 1 species
UAGUGGCGAACGGGUGAGUAACACGUGGGCAAUCUGCCCUUCACUCUGGGACAAGCCCUGGAAACGGGGUCUAAUACCGGAUAACACCUGCCCGGGCAUCCGGGUGGGUUAAAAGCUCCGGCGGUGAAGGAUGAGCCCGCGGCCUAUCAGCUUGUUGGUGAGGUAGUGGCUCACCAAGGCGACGACGGGUAGCCGGCCUGAGAGGGCGACCGGCCACACUGGGACUGAGACACGGCCCAGACUCCUACGGGAGGCAGCAGUGGGGAAUAUUGCACAAUGGGCGAAAGCCUGAUGCAGCGACGCCGCGUGAGGGAUGACGGCCUUCGGGUUGUAAACCUCUUUCAGCAGGGAAGAAGCGAAAGUGACGGUACCUGCAGAAGAAGCGCCGGCUAACUACGUGCCAGCAGCCGCGGUAAUACGUAGGGCGCAAGCGUUGUCCGGAAUUAUUGGGCGUAAAGAGCUCGUAGGCGGCUUGUCACGUCGGGUGUGAAAGCCCGGGGCUUAACCCCGGGUCU